ensembl:lncRNA
UGAUCACUCCUCUUGGACCCCUUCUGUAAGCCCAGGACAUGGCAGAUAACAUUAUACAAAUUGCAUACCUAAGCAUAAGAGCCUGAAAGUCAUCAGGCUAAGAAGGAUUCCUGGAAUUAAAAUACAGGAGCUGGAUAUUCAACAUGAGCAGAAGGACAGACCAAACAUGGUUGGGACACAGAAGAGAAGAUUACUGUACAGGGACUGGAAGUGUGGAAUUCAAAUCUAGAAUGGAAGAAUGGAGCAAAAGGAGAAAGUUGCUAUCAGCAUUCACAGUUGGAGCAGGGACAACCCUAAUACUCUCCUCACAACUCUUUCUCUUACACAUCCUGCCCAAAUGCUGCACUUGGGAGCAAGAUAGCUCAGAGCCACUGGAGUACCUGCUUAAAUUGGUGACAGGAAGCAAGAACAUGCUAUGGACAGAUACCAUGAAGUUUUAUUUUGGGAGACAGGCUGCAUUUCUGACAGUCAGGCCAUCCUUCUGAACCAGGUAGCCUCCAGCUCCAUCCUGUCAGUGAGAAACAUAGCAGCCUGAAAGAUGAAGGUUCAGCAAAAUGAUAAGCCACCAAAACCAGGGCUUUGUAAUGGGAACUGUCAUGUAGCUUGAAUAAUAG